GUGGUUGCUGCUGCUGCUCCAGUUGCAGGAAAAUUGCACAAAGUUGCUAGAAAACGGUGCUCAAAUCACCCAAAACUUGUGCAAUAAGCUAGCCGUUUAGACGAUAUCGGUCAGAAACCCUCGGAAGAUUAAGAAUGGCACGCUACCGCGAGUGGGACCUGGCCUGCAAGGUGUACGUCGGCAACCUGGGCUCGUCCGCGUCCAAGCACGAGAUCGAGAGUGCGUUCGGCAAGUACGGCCCGCUGCGUAACGUCUGGGUCGCCCGGAACCCGCCCGGUUUCGCCUUUGUCGAGUUCGAGGACAAACGGGACGCCGAGGACGCGUGCCGCUCGCUGGACGGACAGAGAUGCUGCGGAACGCGCAUCCGGGUGGAAAUGUCCUCGGGAAGGACCCGGCGGGAUGACCGCAGCCGGCGGCCACGGCGCUCGUACAGGGCAAGCUCUUCUAUGAUACUCUGCGUCAGCAACUUCCGCCACAGAUCUUCAUAUAACCAACCUUCUACUAGUAGCUCUACUACUAUUAAGCCUAGCGCGUCCAUCAAAUCCACCAACAAACCACACAUCUACUCAGUCCUCCAUCUUCCAAAAAAUCUACUACUACUACCAACAUAAUUUGCGAAACGCGCGCACGGCAAAACAAAACUUGAGUGCCCAGAAACCGCGCACGAGCGAAGAUUUACGCCGCGGCAACACGUGCGUCGUCAGCUCCUCGUCAGCACUGAGCAUCGAAAUUCGACGAGUUCGCCGAAGAUGCCAUCAACUACUGCUGUCUGCUGUCUGCUGCUGCUGCCGCUGAAAACAAGCCCCAUCACACGACCACCCUACAGGAGACACUCGCAUCUCGGUUACGUUGGUUACGACCUUCGAGGCUUGCUCUCAACUGCAGCAACAACAACAACAACAACGCCACCAUCGCUCAACUUGUGUUCAACUUGAUCCUUCGACACCAUCGGCGAUCUUCUGUUUCUUCUCCCGAACAACCACCAACCACCACCAACCACCAAAUCAUCAACCACCACCUCUACUUACAACUCUACCUGCCCGAAUCGACCGUCGUCGUCUUGUUCUUCUCUUCUGCAACCUCAACGAAACAAAACAAAAAAACCGCUGCUAGCUCACGCCCACCACGCCGCUAUUGUUGAUGUUGUUGCCGCUUCUAGAAAUGAAAUGAAACCCAAAUGUGUGUGUGUGUAGUAGUGCCGCAAUGCUAAUCAACCGAUCAACAACAAUCAGCAAUUUAGUGCGUGCGCAUCGACUACUCGACUCAACUCGGCUCGUCUCGUCUGCCCUUCUUCAGUCACCACAACUACCACCAACCACCACCACCACACCACCAUCCUAGCUUUUUUAGAGUGUUUUAUAAAAAAAAACACACACACAGAACCCUUGGAAAAGAUCUCGUUCGCCACGCCGCUCCAGGACCCGGUCCCCGAGCCGUGACCGCGAUCGCGACCGUCGCAGCCGCAGCCGCAGUGGAUCGCGGGACCGCCGUUAAACGGAUCGGAUCACCUUUUUACAUAACGAAAAAUAUGUAUAACACAAACACAGCAAGAGUAAAACAUCAACAUUUUAAGAGCAGAUUCGUAAAACCACAUGUAAAAGUUCAAAACAUUACACAACACACAUGUAACAUGGAAAAAAAGCAAAAACAAAAAAAAAGUUAGAGUUGUGCACUUUGUGAAAGAAAUAUUGAAUUAGGCGAGUAUUGUUUCUUUAUUUUGGGACUUGUAAUCGGACACACCCUCCCCCAAGUUUUGCACACAUAAACACACAUUUAUUAGUAGAUUGUAAGGUAGCCCACAAACCCCGCCCGCCCGCCCGCAAUAUAGAACAUGUGAUGGCUUUCCAAAUCCUGAAUUUUGAAGAAAGAAAACAAAAACUCGGAAAGUCAAUCGGUGUAGAUGCAUUUCUUAUAAACGAUCCAAAAUCUUCUACAUACUUGAGCAGAUUGGAAUUACGGUAGGGACAUGUAAUUUUGAAAGCAGUGAGAAACGAUUGAGUAGAGUCGGAACGGAACCCACACAAAACACAUACAAAAGAAAAAAAAACACACACACACUUCUUUACCCAGAAGAAAACGUAAAUGUAUUUUUAGUUCUUUUUUCUAGUUAUUACAAAAUAAAGUGAGAUAUAUAACGUAUAUUAACUGAAA